GUUCUGAGCCGGAGCGAGAGGCGCUUCAGAGAAGGAGGGACCGACCUGCAGGAGCCGGCCGCCCCGCCGAGCUGCAGUCGCUGCCGCCGCCGCUGUCGCUGUCGCUGUCAGAACCCGUCCGAAGAGUGACACCUUCGCGAAAAAACAGGAGCUGUGAAACAUUUGCACACGCAGUCUUCGGAUCCCAGGUCCCCAUUCAUGAGCCCGAGGCUGUGAGACAUGCUCCAUGUGCCAAGGGGAGUUCUCACCACAUCUUCCGAGGCUGUCCUAGACAUACACUCUUCGGUCUGAGUCAGCAUUACCAGAGCAGACAGUGCUGCUGCUACCUCGAGAAAUCGCUGGCCAUCAGUGUCCCUGGAAGUCCCUAAGAAAGCCUUGCAGAAUCUGCAGCUUGUUGGGAAUCUGAAACUGCCAAUAAAAUCAAUAUUGUGCCUGGAGUAGAUGAUAAAUCUGAAGAAAAAGAUUACUCCAUUGAUUCAGAGCUAAACACCGACACUGAACUCUGCUGUUAUAGAGCAUAUCAUACAGAAAGCUUAUCCAAGAGAAGUCCUAUCAUAUUCAUCAACAACGUCGAAAGUAGCCUACUUUAAGAGAAAAUAUGCAGAAGAAGAAGAUCUACAUCAAGAUUCCCAUGGGUAUUUUCCAAAACACCUGAUAUUACCGGAAGACAGGACUUGUAUCCUCAAACUUUCCCUAGAGAAGCUCAGGUUUCUUGAAGACCCAGAAACCUACCUAAGAAGGUCUGUGUUAAUUAACAAUUUGCUGAGGAAGAUACACCUAGAGACGGAGAAAGAGAGCUAUGAAUACUUCAAGGAAGCUCCCUGCUAUAAGACUGCUUAUUCUGAUACGAGAAAACGGCUGAAGUUUAUGGUACAGGAGUGCUGUUCCCAGUCUCUCUACUAUGAAGAGCUGCACUCCUACCACAUUGUGCCUUACACUUCGGAGAGUACCAUCUAUGGGAUGGGCUACACUGGUGACCACUUGGAGCAAAAUUCUCAGUUGCUCAUUUAUAAAAUGAAUUAAAAAGUAACUGUUAAGUUCAUUGAAAAAAAAAAAAAAAAAA
rnacentral:lncRNA from 1 species